rnacentral:rRNA from 1 species
CAAUAGCGUAUAUUUAAGUUGCUGCAGUUAAAAAGCUCGUAGUUGGAUUUCGGGUGGGAAUGGCCGGUCCGCCGUUUCGGUGUGCACUUGCUACGCCCACCUUGCUGCCGGGGACGUGCUCUUGAGUUCACGCUCGGGACACGGAGUCGGCGAGGUUACUUUGAGUAAAUUAGAGUGCUCAAAGCAGGCCUACGCUCUGAAUACAUUAGCAUGGAAUAACACGAUAGGACUCUGGCCUAUCUUGUUGGUCUGUAGGACCGGAGUAAUGAUUAAGAGGGACAGUCGGGGGCAUUCGUAUUUCAUUGUCAGAGGUGAAAUUCUUGGAUUUAUGAAAGACGAACUACUGCGAAAGCAUUUGCCAAGGAUGUUUUCAUUAA